GUCUACGGCCAUACCACCCUGACACAUCUGAUCUAAUAUGAUCUCAGAAGCUAAGUAGGGUCUGGUCUGGUUAGUACUUGGAUGGGAGGGAGUGCACACCUUCUGGAGU
rnacentral:rRNA from 1 species